rnacentral:rRNA from 1 species
GAUGAACGCUGGCGGCGUGCUUAACACAUGCAAGUCGAACGGUGAACGAGGGAGCUUGCUCCCUCCGGAUCAGUGGCGAACGGGUGAGUAACACGUGAGCAAUCUGCCCUGGACUCUGGGAUAAGCGUUGGAAACGACGUCUAAUACCGGAUACGAGGCGUGGGGGCAUCCCCAACGCCUGGAAAGAACUUCGGUCCAGGAUGAGCUCGCGGCCUAUUAGGUAGUUGGUGAGGCAACGGCUCACCAAGCCGACGACGGGUAGCCGGCCUGGGAGGGUGGCCGGCCACACUGGGACUGAGACACGGCCCAGACUCCUACGGGAGGCAGCAGUGGGGAAUAUUGCACAAUGGGCGCAAGCCUGAUGCAGCAACGCCGCGUGAGGGACGACGGCCUUCGGGUUGUAAACCUCUUUUAGCAGGGAAGAAGCGAAAGUGACGGUACCUGCAGAAAAAGCACCGGCUAACUACGUGCCAGCCGCCGCGGUAAAAC